rnacentral:tRNA from 1 species
GGGGUUGUGGCUCAAGGGUAGAGCACUUGCCUUGCAUGCAUGAGGCACUGGAUUAGAUCCUUAGCACCA